rnacentral:rRNA from 1 species
UGGGACUGAGACUUGGCCCAGACUCCUACGGGAGGCACCAGUAGGGAAUCUUCCGCAAUGGACGAAAGUCUGACGGAGCAACCCCGCGUGAGUGAUGAAGGUUUUCGGAUCGUAUAGAUCUGUUGUUAGGGAAGAACAAGUGCCGUUCAAAUAGGGCGGCACCUUGACGGUACCUAACCAGAAAGCCACGGCUAACUACGUGCCAGCAGCCGCGGUAAUACGUAGGUGGCAAGCGUUGUCCGGAAUUAUUGGGCGUAAAGGGCUCGCAGGCGGUUUCUUAAGUCUGAUGUGAAAGCCCCCGGCUCAACCGGGGAGGGUCAUUGGAAACUGGGGAACUUGAGUGCAGAAGAGGAGAGUGGAAUUCCACGUGUAGCGGUGAAAUGCGUAGAGAUGUGGAGGAACACCAGUGGCGAAGGCGACUCUCUGGUCUGUAACUGACGCUGAGGAGCGAAAGCGUGGGGAGCGAACAGGAUUAGAUACCCUGGUAGUCCACGCCGUAAACGAUGAGUGCUAAGUGUUAGGGGGUUUCCGCCCCUUAGUGCUGCAGCUAACGCAUUAAGCACUCCGCCUGGGGAGUACGGUCGCAAGACUGAAACUCAAAGGAAUUGACGGGGGCCCGCACAAGCGGUGGAGCAUGUGGUUUAAUUCGAAGCAACGCGAGAACCUUACCA